CCUACGGGAGGCAGCAGUGGGGAAUAUUGCACAAUGGGCGAAAGCCUGAUGCAGCAACGCCGCGUGAAGGAAGAAGGGUUUCGGCUCGUAAACUUCUAUCAACAGGGACGAAAGAAAUGACGGUACCUGAAUAAGAAGCCCCGGGUAACUACGUGCCAGCAGCCGCGGUAAUACGUAGGGGGCAAGCGUUAUCCGGAAUUACUGGGUGUAAAGGGAGAGUAGGCGGCAUGGUAAGCCAGAUGUGAAAUGCUUGGGCUUAACCCGAGGAUUGCAUUUGGAACUAUCAAGCUAGAGUGCAGGAGAGGAAAGCGGAAUUCCUAGUGUAGCGGUGAAAUGCGUAGAUAUUAGGAAGAACACCAGUGGCGAAGGCGGCUUUCUGGACUGAAACUGACGCUGAGGCACGAAAGCGUGGGGAGCGAACAGGAUUAGAUACCCGGGUAGUC
rnacentral:rRNA from 1 species